CCCACAUCCUUGUGACGCGGUUUGGCCUCGCUGAUCAUCCUCACAUCCUGGCGUCUCUGGAAGGCGCGGAAUGCCUGCGUAUUCAACGGAGCGACUCCCUUGAUCCCCCUCCUAGUCAACGACAUCAAGGAAGACGUCCGCGAAUGGGCCGCCGCCGGAGCCAAAGGGCUCGGCAACAUGCUCCUACCUCCGUCGUGA
rnacentral:rRNA from 1 species